ACGGUCCUACGGGGCGCAGCAGUAGGGAAUCUUCGGCAAUGGACGAAAGUCCGACCGAGCAACGCCGCGUGAGUGAAGAAGGAUUUCGGAUCGUAAAACUCUGUUGGUAGAGAAGAACGUUGGUGAGAGUGGAAAGCUCAUCAAGUGACGGUAACUACCCAGAAAGGGACGGCUAACUACGUGCCAGCAGCCGCGGUAAUACGUAGGUCCCGAGCGUUGUCCGGAUUUAUUGGGC
rnacentral:rRNA from 1 species